AACAAGUACCAGAGUAACUGCUGGUACCUUGACGGUACCUAACCAGAAAGCCACGGCUAACUACGUGCCAGCAGCCGCGGAUAAUACAUAGGUGGCAAGCGUUGUCCGGAAUUAUUGGGCGUAAAGCGUACGCAGGCGGUUUCUUAAGUCUGAUGUGAAAGCCCACGGCUCAACCGUGGAGGGUCAUUGGAAACUGGGGAACUUGAGUACAGAAGAGGAGAGUGGAAUUCCACGUGUAGCGGUGAAAUGCGUAGAGAUGUGGAGGAACACCAGUGGCGAAGGCGACUCUCUGGUCUGUAACUGACGCUGAGGUACAAAAGCGUGGGGAGCGAACAGGAUUAGAUACCCUGGUAGUCCACGCCGUAAACGAUGAGCGCUAAGUGUUAGAGGGUUUCCGCCCUUUAGUGCUGCAGCAAACGCAUUAAGCACUCCGCCUGGGGAGUACGGUCGCAAGACUGAAACUCAAAGGAAUUGACGGGGGCCCGCACAAGCGGUGGAGCAUGUGGUUUAAUUCGAAGCAACGCGAAGAACCUUACCAGGUCUUGACAUCCCACUGCCCGGUAUAGAGAUAUACCUUUCCCUUCGGGGACAGUGGUGACAGGUGGUGCAUGGUUGUCGUC
rnacentral:rRNA from 1 species